rnacentral:rRNA from 1 species
GGUAAAGCUACUAAGAGCGUAUGGAGGAUGCCUAGGCACAUGGAGGCGAUGAAGGACGUGGUAAGCUGCGAUAAGCUUCGGGUAGGUGCAAACAACCUUAAAUCCGGAGAUUUCCGAAUGGGAAAACCCAGCCCGGGUUAUGCCGGGUUACUCCCACCUGAAUAUAUAGGGUGGGUAGAGCCAACGGGGAGAACUGACACAUCUAAGUACCCCCAGGAAGAGAAAAUACUAAUGAUUUCCCUAGUAGCGGCGAGCGAACAGGAAAGAGCCUAAACCGUUAACGUGUCAAGCCCAAGAGCGUUGCGCUAACGGUGUUGUGGGACUGGAAUAGAGUCAAUCUUGGACGACUCGACAAGUCAAAAAAUCAAUCGUUAGAUGAAGUGGUAUGGAAAGACCAGCCAUAGAAGGUGAUAGCCCUGUAAUCAAAAACGAGCGAUCUUGUUGAUUCCAGAUCCCGAGUAACACGGAACACGAGAAAUUUUGUGUGAAUCUGCCGGGACCAUCCGGUAAGGCUAAAUACUCCCAUGUGACCGAUAGUGAACUAGUACCGUGAGGGAAAGGUGAAAAGUACUCCUAGCGGAGAGUGAAAUAGAACCUGAAACCGUGCGCUUACAAGCGGUCGGAGCUCCGAUUCGUCGGGGUGACGGCGUGCCUUUUGCAUAAUGAUCCAGCGAGUUGCUCGUAUGUUGCGAGGUUAAGAUCCAAAGAUCGAAGCCAUAGGGAAACCGAGUCUGAAUAGGGCGUUUAGUAGCAUGCGGCAGACCCGAAACCGAGUGAUCUAGCCAUGGCCAGGUUGAAGUUCCGGUAACACGGAAUGGAGGACCGAACCCACCAGCGUUGAAAAGCUGGGGGAUGAGCUGUGGCUAGGGGUGAAAGGCCAAUCAAACUCGGAGAUAUCUGGUUCUCGUCGAAAUGCCUUUAGGGGCAGCGUUGUAUUAAUGUAUCGGGGGUAGAGCACUGAAUGGGCUAGGGGGCCUACAAGCUUACCAACCCCAAUUAAACUCCGAAUACCGAAUACAUGAUGUACAGCAGUGAGGCUACGGGUGAUAAGAUUCGUAGCCGAGAGGGAAACAACCCAGACCAUCAGCUAAGGUCCCUAAAUUGAUACUAAGUGAUAAAGGAUGUGGAAUCGCCCAGACAGCUAGGAGGUUGGCUUAGAAGCAGCCAUCCUUUAAAGAAAGCGUAAUAGCUCACUAGUCAAGGGGUUCUGCGCCGAUAAUUUCCGGGACUAAGUAUCAUACCGAAGCUAUGGGAUUCAUUCGAUUAGAAUGGAUCGGUAGACGAGCGUUCUAUUAACCUGCGAAGGUUGACCCGUGAGGGCAGCUGGAGGAGAUAGAAAUGAGUAUGCUGGAAUGAGUAGCGAUAAAGCCUGUGAAAUACAGGCUCGCCGUAAGCCCAAGGUUUCCUGAGUAAAGUUAAUCUGCUCAGGGUUAGUCGGACCCUAAGCCGAGGCCGAAAGGCGUAGGCGAUGGAAAACAGGUUUAAUAUUCCUGUACCAGUUUAAUAUUGUUUGAACUAUGGGGGGACGCAGAAGUGAAAGGAGAUCCCGGUUUUGAUUGUCCGGGUUUAAGUGUGUAGGGAGUUCUGGUAGGUAAAUCCGCCGGAACAUUAUCCUGAGGCACGAACAGGAGGGCCUAGCCCAUAAACUCUCCCUAAUCAUGCUGCCAAGAAAAUCCUCUAUGUUAGAUAUUAGACUGACCGUACCGUAAACGGACACACGUAGGCGAGGAGAGAAUCCUAAGGCGCUUGAGAGAAUCCAAGUAAAGGAACUCGGCAAAUUAGCCCCGUAACUUCGGGAGAAGGGGUGCCACUUGAGGAAACGGACUUCGCGUCCUGAUUUUUGAGUGGUCGCAGUGACCAGGCCCAAACGACUGUUUAACAAAAACACAGGUCUCUGCUAAGUCGUAAGACGAAAUAUAGGGACUGACACCUGCCCGGUGCUGGAAGGUUAAAUGGAGAGGUUAGCUUCGGCGAAGCUUUGAAAUGAAGCCCCAGUAAACGGCGGCCGUAACUAUAACGGUCCUAAGGUAGCGAAAUUCCUUGUCGGGUAAGUUCCGACCUGCACGAAUGGUGUAACGAUUUGGGCACUGUCUCUACUUGGAGCUCAGCGAAAUUGAAGUGUCGGUGAAGAUGCCGGCUACCCGCGGCCGGACGAAAAGACCCCGUGAACCUUUACUACAACUUAGCAUUGGAUUCUG